rnacentral:rRNA from 1 species
AGUAGCAAUACUUGGUGGCGACCGGCGCACGGGUGAGUAACGCGUAUGCAACCUACCUAUAACAGGGGGAUAGCUCCGAGAAAUCGGGAUUAAUACCUCAUAAUAUUUAGAAUUGGCACCAAUUUUAGAUUAAAGUUCCGGCGGUUAUAGAUGGGCAUGCGUGACAUUAGCUAGUUGGUGAGGUAACGGCUCACCAAGGCUACGAUGUCUAGGGGUUCUGAGAGGAUACACCCCCACACUGGUACUGAGACACGGACCAGACUCCUACGGGAGGCAGCAGUAGGGAAUAUUGGGCAAUGGGCGCAAGCCUGACCCAGCCAUGCCGCGUGCAGGAAGACGGCCUUAUGGGUUGUAAACUGCUUUUGUAUAGGAUAAAUAUCCUGGACUAGAUUCGGGUUUGAUAGUACUAUACGAAUAAGCAUCGGCUAACUCCGUGCCAGCAGCCGCGGUAAUACGGAGGAUGCAAGCGUUAUCCGGAUUUAUUGGGUUUAAAGGGUGCGCAGGCGGAUUAAUAAGUCAGUGGUGAAAUCCUACAGCUUAACUGUAGAACUGCCAUUGAUACUGUUAGUCUAGAAUUUAGUUGAAGUGGCUGGAAUGUGUCAUGUAGCGGUGAAAUGCAUAGAGCUGACACAGAACACCGAUAGCGAAGGCAUGUCACUAAGCUAAUAUUGACGCUCAUGCACGAAAGCGUGGGGAUCAAACAGGAUUAGAUACCCUGGUAGUCCACGCCGUAAACGAUGAUAACUAGCUGUUGGCGAUACACAGUCAGUGGCUAAGCGAAAGCGAUAAGUUAUCCACCUGGGGAGUACGACCGCAAGGUUGAAACUCAAAGGAAUUGACGGGGGG